rnacentral:rRNA from 1 species
GAUUGACCUCGGAUCAGGAGGACCCAUU